rnacentral:misc_RNA from 1 species
GAGAUCAUGCCCUCACGGGUAGACCUCCCACCCUUUGUAUACUAUACUUUGUUGCUUUGGCGAGCCUGUUCGGCUUCGGUUGAACUCCCGGCCUCGGCUGGUUCGUGCUCGUCAGAGGACCCAAAACUCUGAAUUAUAAUGCCGUCUGAGUACUAUACAAUAGUUAAAACUUUCAACAACGGAUCUCUUGGUUCU